GACCAAGGGUUCCUGUCCAACGUUAAUCGGGGCAGGGUGAGUCGACCCCUAAGGCGAGGCCGAAAGGCGUAGUCGAUGGGAAACGGGUUAAUAUUCCCGUACUUGGUGUUACUGCGAAGGGGGGACGGAGAAGGCUAUGUUGGCCGGGCGACGGUUGUCCCGGUUUAAGCGUGUAGGUGUGUGUUCCAGGUAAAUCCGGUUCACUUUAACACUGAGGCGUGACGACGAGGCACUACGGUGCUGAAGCAACAAAUGCCCUGCUUCCAGGAAAAGCCUCUAAGCAUCAGGUAACAUCAAAUCGUACCCCAAACCGACACAGGUGGUCAGGUAGAGAAUACCAAGGCGCUUGAGAGAACUCGGGUGAAGGAACUAGGCAAAAUGGUGCCGUAACUUCGGGAGAAGGCACGCUGACACGUAGGUGAAGUGAUUUACUCAUGGAGCUGAAGUCAGUCGAAGAUACCAGCUGGCUGCAACUGUUUAUUAAAAACACAGCACUGUGCAAACACGAAAGUGGACGUAUACGGUGUGACGCCUGCCCGGUGCCGGAAGGUUAAUUGAUGGGGUCAGCGCAAGCGAAGCUCCUGAUCGAAGCCCCGGUAAACGGCGGCCGUAACUAUAACGGUCCUAAGGUAGCGAAAUUCCUUGUCGGGUAAGUUCCGACCUGCACGAAUGGCGUAAUGAUGGCCAGGCUGUCUCCACCCGAGACUCAGUGAAAUUGAACUCGCUGUGAAGAUGCAGUGUACCCGCGGCAAGACGGAAAGACCCCGUGAACCUUUACUAUAGCUUGACACUGAACAUUGAGCCUUGAUGUGUAGGAUAGGUGGGAGGCUUUGAAGUGUGGACGCCAGUCUGCAUGGAGCCGACCUUGAAAUACCACCCUUUAAUGUUUGAUGUUCUAACGUGGACCCGUGAUCCGGGUUGCGGACAGUGUCUGGUGGGUAGUUUGACUGGGGCGGUCUCCUCCUAAAGAGUAACGGAGGAGCACGAAGGUUGGCUAAUCCUGGUCGGACAUCAGGAGGUUAGUGCAAUGGCAUAAGCCAGCUUGACUGCGAGCGUGACGGCGCGAGCAGGUGCGAAAGCAGGUCAUAGUGAUCCGGUGGUUCUGAAUGGAAGGGCCAUCGCUCAACGGAUAAAAGGUACUCCGGGGAUAACAGGCUGAUACCGCCCAAGAGUUCAUAUCGACGGCGGUGUUUGGCACCUCGAUGUCGGCUCAUCACAUCCUGGGGCUGAAGUAGGUCCCAAGGGUAUGGCUGUUCGCCAUUUAAAGUGGUACGCGAGCUGGGUUUAGAACGUCGUGAGACAGUUCGGUCCCUAUCUGCCGUGGGCGCUGGAGAACUGAGGGGGGCUGCUCCUAGUACGAGAGGACCGGAGUGGACGCAUCACUGGUGUUCGGGUUGUCAUGCCAAUGGCACUGCCCGGUAGCUAAAUGCGGAAGAGAUAAGUGCUGAAAGCAUCUAAGCACGAAACUUGCCCCGA
rnacentral:rRNA from 1 species